rnacentral:rRNA from 1 species
UACGGGGGGGGCAAGCGUUGUUCGGAAUUACUGGGCGUAAAGGGCUCGUAGGCGGCCAACUAAGUCAGACGUGAAAUCCCUCGGCUUAACCGGGGAACUGCGUCUGAUACUGGAUGGCUUGAGGUUGGGAGAGGGAUGCGGAAUUCCAGGUGUAGCGGUGAAAUGCGUAGAUAUCUGGAGGAACACCGGUGGCGAAGGCGGCAUCCUGGACCAAUUCUGACGCUGAGGAG